rnacentral:rRNA from 1 species
UACGAAGGGGGCUAGCGUUGCCCGGAUUUAUUGGGCGUAAGGGCGCGUAGGCGGCUACGCACGUCCGUUGUGAAAUCGCUCGGCUCAACUGGGCGGGGUCAGCGGGAUACGGCGUAGGCUGGAGCAAGCUAGGGGGCAAGUGGAAUUCCGGGUGGUAGCGGUGGAAUGCGUAGAGAGUCCGGAAGAACACCGGUGGCGAAGGCGGUCUGCUGGGGUGAGGCUGACGGCUGAGGCGGCGACAGCGUGGGGAGCAACAGGAU